ensembl:lncRNA
UUUUUUUUUUUUUUUUUUAACAGCCUCAAAGAGGAAAUAUAUAUAUCUUUUUCUUUCCUUUUGUUAAAAAAGAUUUUAAGAUCUGGUCUUGUAGAAAUCAAAGCAAAAUGGAUAUGGAGAGGCACAUACAACUCCUUCAAUUGUAAUUUUAGUUACAAAUUGAACCUGACAAUUAGUGGCACCCACAAAAAGGAUCCUGCAAUCAUAUACAUACACACUUCACAUACACAACUGGUGAUAAUUUUUAUCUGUAGAUUGACUGGCACUUCUCAGACUCUGCAUGAUCACAGUCUUGCAAACAAACAUCAGGACCUAUUCCUGCUGAUGCCUUGAUCCUCUGCUAACACGCUCCCUGUCCUGCUUAACAAAUAAACCUUACAGUGGGGGAAGAACUUCCAUAAUGAAAAGUGUUAUUAAAACCUACAAGACUGCAGGCUGACCAUUCUCUCUUCUUCAUCUCUGGACUUCAUUCUCCCACUGAUAAUCUAUGUUUAGCCCUUUAUUAUGUCUUUUGAGCUUGUUCUUCUGUUUCUUUUUUUCUCCUCUCCCACUUCCAGCUCAGUAUCAUUGUUUUCUUAGGUCUUUUUUCACUAGAUAUUCAUGUACAGCAUCUUGUGGUUCUAACUGAUGGAAUAUGUGCAUGCAGCAACACUAUUUGGACAAAAGAAAGAGAUCAACUUUUUGGUAGCAAGUUAAUAGCUUUUUACUCCAUCUGAAGCAUUCUAACAAAAAGCAAUGAAUUUAGGAAUUCAGUGGACUUCAACAUGCUUAGAUUCACAGGGAAGAACUUUCUUAGCUAGUAUGUUAACAACCCAGCUCUCAAAUUGCACACAAAUUGCAAAGAGGGUAGUAGCCUGUCAUCCCUCCUGCUCACCCUGAAACUGAUCAGUCAACAGACACAACCUAGUGGAGCAGAGAGAAGUCACAAAUUUGAACAGAGAAGGUGAUGAAUAAAUUCCAUGACUCAGCAAUGUUCUAUCUUGGCUGUAAUCUCCAAUAUACUCUUUCCAGAUCUGAGUCUGUAAAAGUUAGGCCUCUCCUCAGUCAGAAAUCCAGAAGAUGAGAGAUUGAAAUUAAAUCAGUACUAAUGCAUUGAGCAGUCAUUCCGAGCUCUUGGUAUGGCCACAUAUUUUUGAAACAUUCAAUUUCAUAUCUGCGGACAUUUGGAUGCACAGAAGCCCUGACACCUUCUGUCAUUUUCACUCAGCAGGGAUAUGCAAUGACUGUCAACAGCAGCCUAUAGGUAUGCUCAAAUAUUUAGGGGCUUGGGUCACAUGAUGGUAUGCAUGGAAAGACAAAUCUGAGCACUGAUCAAUAAAUGUGUCUUGCAUUGAACACUGUCAGUGAAGGAAUGGAAACACACACAGGUAAAACUGAUUACACUCAGGAGCUCAGAAGUGAAUUAUAGCAUCAAACAUGUUUUUGCAAGCAACAGAGCAUUCACACAGGGCUGAAUGUGUCAGUGUCCCCACACAUCAAAGCAAGGUGCAGACUCUGAGAUGCUUACUUGAAUAUCCAGUAUAAAUUUUCCUCACUGCAGCCAUCCCUGAGAAUGCAGAGGAAGGGUUUAAGAUUCAUCCACUACUCAUCUUUACAAAUAUGAAAAACAAAAUAUUCAGCUCAUGAUGGGAUAUUGAGCAUGAAACACUGAGCAGAAAGAAGAGGUUAGAUUUUAAUUUCCUUGGUUGCGUGUGGACCUUUUCUAAUUCCAUUGGACCUAGUAGAAAUAUAUUUUAAACAUAACAACCUGAAUGGAGAAAAACCUUGCUACUGUGGCUACAUAUAUAUACAAAUGGUGAAGUUUUGGCAAAGGAUGAUGCAAAAGAACUGCAAAACCACACUGCAGCACCUGAAUCUCAUUGUUUUUUAGAACCUGGAGAUUUCUAGGUUAGAAAAAGUAGCUAAUUUCUGAAUAAAGAGAAGUAGGAAGAUGGAAUUACACUAUUUUGUUCCUCUUUGCUGAGAUAAUGAAUAUUGUACUGAAUAUGGGAAAUUGCUAAUCUGUUCCCUUCUACUUGUACUUCUUGAAAAGGAAUUUUGAUAAUUCACCAAAGACAGCUAGAGAAUUAUAGAAUGCCAUCCAUCCAUUCAAUACUGUUUUUCACUCCAUUCCCAUUUUCUUCAUUAUUCUUUCCAAAUCAAAAAAAAAAAAAAAAAGAAAAAAAAAGAAAAAAAGAAAAAAA